rnacentral:rRNA from 1 species
AUCCCGAUGACGAGUGAGCAAAGUCACUUUCCUUUCGGGGCAUUGGAGACAGGUGGUGCAUGGUUGUUGUCAGCUCGUGUCGUGAGAUGUUGGGUAAGUCCCGCAACGAGCGCAACCCCUAUUUCCAGUAGCCAGCAGGUAGAGCUGGGCAGUCUGGAGAGACUGCCCGGGAUAACCGGGAGGAUGGCGGGGAUGACGUCAAAUCAUCAUGCCCCUUAUGAUCAGGGCUACACACGUGCUACAAUGGCGUAAACAAAGGGAAGCGAGACGGUGACGUUGAGCAAAUCCCAAAAAUAACGUCCCAGUUCGGAUUGUAGUCUGCAACUCGACUACAUGAAGCUGGAAUCGCUAGUAAUCGCGAAUCAGAAUGUCGCGGUGAAUACGUUCCCGGGUCUUGUACACACCGCCCAGUCACACCAUGGGAGUCGGAAAUGCCCGAAGUCAGUGACCUAACCGAAAGGAAGGAGCUGCCGAAGGUGGAGCCGGUAACUGGGGUGAAGUCGUAACAAGGUAACCGU